rnacentral:rRNA from 1 species
AACGAACGCUGGCGGCAGGCCUAACACAUGCAAGUCGAGCGGACCCUUCGGGGUUAGCGGCGGACGGGUGAGUAACGCGUGGGAAUAUGCCCUUCUCUACGGAAUAGUCCUGGGAAACUGGGGAUAAUACCGUAUACGCCCUUUGGGGGAAAGAUUUAUCGGGGAAGGAUUAGCCCGCGUUGGAUUAGGUAGUUGGUGGGGUAAUGGCCUACCAAGCCGACGAUCCAUAGCUGGUUUGAGAGGAUGAUCAGCCACACUGGGACUGAGACACGGCCCAGACUCCUACGGGAAGCAGCAGUGGGGAAUCUUAGACAAUGGGGGCAACCCUGAUCGAGCCAUGCCGCGUGAGUGAUGAAGGCCUUAGGGUUGUAAAGCUCUUUCAGCUAGGAAGAUAAUGACGGUACCAGCAGAAGAAGCCCCGGCUAACUCCGUG